AUAACUACUGGAAACGGUAGCUAAUACCGCAUAACGUCUUCGGACCAAAGUGGGGGACCUUCGGGCCUCACACCAUCGGAUGUGCCCAGAUGGGAUUAGCUAGUAGGUGGGGUAACGGCUCACCUAGGCGACGAUCCCUAGCUGGUCUGAGAGGAUGACCAGCCACACUGGAACUGAGACACGGUCCAGACUCCUACGGGAGGCAGCAGUGGGGAAUAUUGCACAAUGGGCGCAAGCCUGAUGCAGCCAUGCCGCGUGUAUGAAGAAGGCCUUCGGGUUGUAAAGUACUUUCAGUGGGGAGGAAGGCGAUGAAGUUAAUAGCUUCGUCGAUUGACGUUACCCGCAGAAGAAGCACCGGCUAACUCCGUGCCAGCAGCCGCGGUAAUACGGAGGGUGCAAGCGUUAAUCGGAAUUACUGGGCGUAAAGCGCACGCAGGCGGUCUGUCAAGUCGGAUGUGAAAUCCCCGGGCUCAACCUGGGAACUGCAUUCGAAACUGGCAGGCUAGAGUCUUGUAGAGGGGGGUAGAAUUCCAGGUGUAGCGGUGAAAUGCGUAGAGAUCUGGAGGAAUACCGGUGGCGAAGGCGG
rnacentral:rRNA from 1 species